rnacentral:tRNA from 14 species
GAGCCUUGGCGGUGGCGACCGCAGUCUUCAAAUCC